rnacentral:tRNA from 1 species
CAUCGGCCGGGCCGCGCUGGCGGCGCCGGGCUGGCACUCCGGCGGCGGCGGGCUGGUCUCCACCGCCGCCGACUACCA